rnacentral:rRNA from 1 species
GACGUAGGGCGCGAGCGUUGUCCGGAUUUAUUGGGCGUAAAGAGCUCGUAGGCGGCUUGUCGCGUCGUCUGUGAAAUCCCGCGGCUCAACCGCGGGCCUGCAGUCGAUACGGGCAGGCUAGAGUCCGGUAGGGGAGCGUGGAAUUCCUGGUGUAGCGGUGAAAUGCGCAGAUAUCAGGAGGAACACCAGCGGCGAAGGCGGCGCUCUGGGCCGGAACUGACGCUGAGGAGCGAAAGCGUGGGUAGCAAACAGG